AAUUGUGGUGGUUCUGAAAUAUGUCCACAAAUUCUUUACCACUCCUCUGUUCAAGAGGUGGAUUGCAUGCUUGGUCAAAGAGGAUGACCUUCCCUGAUAGAGGAGGUCCUUUCUUUGGUCAAGGUUGUAUGAGUAGCUGCACUCCCCUGCUAGAAUCUCCAGACAAGCUCUCAAGAAACAGAGCCUAACUAGUGACUCAAUUCUGACGAAUCAAGUGGAAGUGACAGUCAUGAAAGGCAGUGCAGCCCCCUCCU
ensembl:misc_RNA 7SK 7SK RNA